rnacentral:rRNA from 1 species
UACAGGGGGGGCAAGCGUUGUUCGGAAUUACUGGGCGUAAAGGGUUCGUAGGCGGCUUACUAAGUCAGUUGUGAAAUCCCUCAGCUUAACUGGGGAACUGCGUCUGAUACUGGAAAGCUUGAGUGCAGGAGAGGAACGCGGAAUUCCAGGUGUAGCGGUGAAAUGCGUAGAUAUCUGGAGGAACACCGGUGGCGAAGGCGGCGUUCUGGACUGUAACUGACGCUGAUGAACGAAAGCCAGGGGAGCAAACGGG